CUGACUGCUGUUGCUCUCUGCACGAGCAAAAUCCUGUUUGAUAUGGCUCUCUUGCUGCUGGUGUUAUUUAUAGCUGUUCUUACCUUCCACCAGACUGGGCAUCUCUUUUUGUUUAAGCAUGUUCAGCUCCGGAUGUUGCUUCAGGUUCUUGCCCUAGGAUGCUGGUUCCUCCUAGGUCCCUUUGGCUCUACUUGUGGAGAAAGAGAAAGCAACAAUAAUUUUCCCUUGUGCCCUCCUGGUGUAAAAGAAAUGCUGCUUGCCACUUCUGGUUGGAAUCCAUUAAGUUGACUUCUAAUGGCCACAAAGUUGCAUUUUCUCCACAUUACUGAAGCAAGUAGAAAUUCCAAAGGCAGCUACUGAUGUACAAGCACUACAGCUAAUGGCAGACAGGCAAACAAGCUGUGCUGGUGGAAGGCAAACACUGGGAAAAGAAAGGAAGAGAAAAACCUAAAUUAAUGAGAUGAUGGUGACACACACACACACACAAAACCCCCCAAAUUAAAAAAACCUGAGAAGGAGAGCUUCCCCCUUAUUGUUGGGUUUUAGUGCUAAGGAUCUCCUCAUUAUCUACUGAGGUAACCACAUGAUAUAAAGUAUAUUCAUUGUGCAUACAUUUUGUAUGCAUAUGAAGUAUAAACCAUUGGAUUUCUUCUAACAGCAUUCACUUGGUUCAUUUCUUUCAUUUCUUGGUUCAACACUAAUUUAGUGGUGGGAAGAUGGAGUUAACACGACUGAGGCUUAAACUCACUCAGGUCACAUCAGAAGCCACAGAGGAG
rnacentral:lncRNA from 1 species